AGCAGGCAGGUGGCUCUGCUGUGUGCAGAUGUCCAUGACCCCUGGGAAGGUGUGAAGCUGGGGCCUCCCUAGGCCCCAAUCAGGGUCUCCCAAAGUAGGAAGGUAAGUUCCCAGAGAGCAGGGCUCCAAGCAUGGGCAGACUGGGCAGGAGAGGCCCUGAGUGGGUAGAUGUCUCCCUUGACAGAGCUUGGAACAGACUCCUGGUCAGCAGCUAUUGAGGCUGGCUUUCCCUUAACUUGCCCAGGUUGGGACUUCAAUACAGCUAAAUAUAAGGGGGGGACUCUCAGUCUAUCACCAGCCUCUGUU
rnacentral:RNase_P_RNA from 1 species